UGGGGAAUAUUGGACAAUGGGCGAAAGCCUGAUCCAGCAAUGCCGCGUGUGUGAAGAAGGUCUUCGGAUUGUAAAGCACUUUCGACGGGGACGAUGAUGACGGUACCCGUAGAAGAAGCCCCGGCUAACUUCGUGCCAGCAGCCGCGGUAAUACGAAGGGGGCUAGCGUUGCUCGGAAUGACUGGGCGUAAAGGGCGCGUAGGCGGAUGGCACAGUCAGAUGUGAAAUUCCUGGGCUUAACCUGGGGGCUGCAUUUGAUACGUGUGAUCUAGAGUGAGGAAGAGGGUCGUGGAAUUCCCAGUGUAGAGGUGAAAUUCGUAGAUAUUGGGAAGAACACCGGUGGCGAAGGCGGCGACCUGGUCCUUUACUGACGCUGAGGCGCGAAAGCGUGGGGAGCAAACAGGAUUAGAUACCCUGGUAGUCCACGCUGUAAACGAUGUGUGCUGGAUGUUGGGCGACCUAGUCGCUCAGUGUCGUAGCUAACGCGAUAAGCACACCGCCUGGGGAGUACGGCCGCAAGGU
rnacentral:rRNA from 1 species